rnacentral:lncRNA from 1 species
ACUGUACAUUUCAUGUCAUAUAUGAAAGAAACUUUUAUGAAUGAAUCAAAAUAACAUUUUGAUUUCUAUCUGAAUGUCUUUCAUUGAAUAUGAUGUGUUAAUUAGAAACUGAAAUAACACUACCAGCAAUAGACAGUUUUUUUGAAUAAUGAACAAUAGCCAGUUCCACAAAUAACUAAAAUUCUAAAGUUAUUGGUAUAUUAGUAAUAAAAAUUUGCUUUCUUUAAAUACUUUUUUAGUCCUGUAAAGAAAAAAUUUUAUAACAUUUUUAUUGACCAGUCGUGAUAUAACAAGGCAAAUAUGAAUUUGUUUUUGAAAAGUGAUGCAAGUUCUCCAACCAGAAAGGAUGAGAUGGAGUCUUAGAAUCUCCUAACAGUAUAUUGUCAUGUUGGGGUAAGGAAGUCUCAUAGUUGAUAUGCCAUGAAAUUAAUACCUGCAACCUAGAUUGCUGUAGUUUACACUUUGUAUGUUUCAAAUCAGGUAUAUACUGUUUGUACUGAGAACACCACAGAAUGAAUUAUCCAAAGUCCACCGAUUUAAUAUGUGUUUUGGUUUGUAAGUGAAUUAUAGUAAUUUCUUGCACAUUUUUUGGAAAUCAAUUGUAUAAAAAUUUAUGUAUCUGCUUCUAGAUACAGUAUGUAAAUAAAAGUUUUGUUCAU